rfam:Clostridiales bacterium S5-A14a contig17, whole genome shotgun sequence.
UCCGGUGACAAUAGCAAGGAGGUCACACCUGUUCCCAUCUCGAACACAGAAGUUAAGCUCCUUAGCGCCUAUGAUACUUGGUGGGUGACUGCCUGGGAAAGCGGGUCGUUGCCGGUU